ensembl:lncRNA
GUGAACUUCAAGAGUAUGGCAACAAUUCAAGGAAAAGAAACUGAUGAAGAUAAAGGUUCACAAAGAAGUUGAGGUAUUUGUUACUUCCUCACUCUGUGAAAAGGAACCAAACCUCCAUUGGAAAUGCCAUGCUUCAGCCAGUGCAGACUGCAAUGCAGAGGCUCAGAAUGUCCUACAAACGAGACUUAGAGAGAUACAAAACAAAGAAGUGAAGAUGUGUAAGACAAUGCCUACAUUCAUCCUGCUGUUUACAGGAUAUUUUGUUAAAAAUAUGCAUGUUCAUGCAACAGAAUCAUCACUGUUAAAGAUAUCUACUUCCUAUGUCACAGAAGCUUCUGAACAAGAAACAGCAGCAGCUGAAUCAAAAACAGUAACAACCAACCCAGAAACUGGGUUCAGUCCCGUUCCAGAAGAAAGUUCGUUAUAUGUAGCAGCAACCAGCAUUUCCCUUGUGAUCAUCUUGAUUUGUAUAAUUGUUUUUCUUUGGUUUAAAUGGAAAUUGUCUAAGGGAAGUUCAGCUGAAAUUAAUCCUGUCCCCUCCAGUGAAGCUGUGGUGACCUUAAAAAAUACCAAGUUAUGAGAACCAAUGAGGAAAGAAGAAAUGAAAGUCCUCUCAGAUGAUGGCUAUUUAAAGGGCUCUUCCACAAGAGCAGUAUAUUCAAAAAAUAAAUUCUCGAAACUAGAGAGAUCCA